rnacentral:rRNA from 1 species
AUUGAACGCUGGCGGCAUGCCUUACACAUGCAAGUCGAACGGUAACAGGUCUUCGGAUGCUGACGAGUGGCGAACGGGUGAGUAAUACAUCGGAACGUGCCUAGUAGUGGGGGAUAACUACUCGAAAGAGUGGCUAAUACCGCAUGAGAUCUACGGACGAAAGCAGGGGAUCGCAAGACCUUGUGCUACUAGAGCGGCCGAUGGCAGAUUAGGUAGUUGGUGGGAUAAAAGCUUACCAAGCCGACGAUCUGUAGCUGGUCUGAGAGGACGAUCAGCCCCACUGGGACUGAGACACGGCCCAGACUCCUACGGGAGGCAGCAGUGGGGAAUUUUGGACAAUGGGCGCAAGCCUGAUCCAGCAAUGCCGCGUGCAGGAUGAAGGCCUUCGGGUUGUAAACUGCUUUUGUACGGAACGAAAAGCCCUGGGUUAAUACCCUGGGGUCAUGGCGGUACCGUAAGAAUAAGCACCGGCUAACUACGUGCCAGCAGCCGCCGCGGUAA